rnacentral:tmRNA from 1 species
GGGGAUGAAAGGCUUCGAUGGAGAUGCGUCGUGAACUGGCGAGCCGAGCGCAACCUCGAUAACUUGCACAAUUCAUAACUGCUAACCAAAAAGUUGCAGCUCCGGCAUUCGCUUACGCGUAAACCGGAGGAUCGGUUGAUCUGGGCCUCUUAGAUCAGUUCCGGUCUUAUAUAAGGAGGCUAAGGAGUCGCCGAUGAUUCUAGGCGGUUCACAAAAAUCAAGAAUCGUUUCGUCCUGAGAGUAAUCGAAGGGCUACGCUCGUAGAAGGUUCUCUGAUAGCAUCUUCAGACGCGAGUUCAAAUCUCGCCAUCUCCACCG